rnacentral:antisense_RNA from 1 species
UUCGGUACGACAUUGCUCACAUUGCUUCCAGUAUUAUUUGCCCGCGCGUCACGUGCGGGCUUUUUUUU